AACAAUUGUCCUAAAAUACAUGAGGAUCAGGACUGCUGAGUGAGAGUGAGGCCUGUGCCUGGGGCAUCGUGAGGCUUAGGCCCCAUCCCCGUUCUCCAGUCCCAGCUCCAUCGUCCUGGGUGUCUGGGACGCCGCUGACCCUCUUAGAGGCGUAUCAGGCCAAAGAAAGAGGUGCUCCGGGGAUGAGAAGUACAGCGUGAAUGUACUUAACACUGCUCAGCUAUACACUUCAAAGGGGUUAAGAUGGUAACUUUUAUGUGUAUUUUGCAAUUAAAAAGAAAAUAGUGUGCUCCCUUCCUACUUGUUAAGAGUAAUUGACAGGAACACAAAGAUCAAGGGUGGAGCGAGAGGUAGGACACAGAGAGUGGGUUGUGUCCUCCUGAAGAGGACAGGGAUCUGCUGGCAGCUGAGAUCCCGUGAUAGAAAAAGCCUUGGCAGAGCUGGGACAGACGCGGUUUGUAGGCUGCUGUGCCUGUCUGCGUUUCGCUAACAGCUGAACCGUCCUCCUGUUGAUACUCACUUGAGAUUUUCUGAGCCCAUCCAAACUUGUAAUAGACAAAAAGGAAGUAGAAGAUAAGGCCACUCAGUAUAAACAACACGCAGUAGAGAUACUCCCAGGCAGGGGCACUGAUGAUCGGGGCCAGCACCAGGAACACGGCUAUGACAGUCACCAAGAUGGGGAUGGCAACAGGCACCUGGAAGCAGAACAGCAGGUGUCAUGGUUUGGCUACAUGCAUUCGUUUGCUUUUUGAAACUUUUCUUUAAAAACAAACUGAUAAAGCAGAGCAUAACGCACUCCACGUGCGCCCCCUCCAGUUUCAAUAACUUUUACGCAAUUUUGCCAAUCUCAUUUCCUCCACUCCACCUUUUCUCCCCUAGAAUAUGAAGAAAAUACCAGACGUCAUGUCAUUUUACCUGUGAAAUAUUCAGUAUGCAUCUCUAGCUAAUGAGGACUCUGUUUUUGACAUGUUUCUUCCCUCCCCUAUUUUUUCUUUAAUCUUAUCAUUGAUUUGUUGGAGAAAUUGGAUGACUUAUCUUCUAGAAUGUUUAAUUUUAGCUUUACCCAAUUGCUUCCUCCCGGUGUGGUGCAGCUUGCUCCUCUGUCUCCCCUAUUUCCUGAAAACUGGUGCUUAGUUCCCAGCUGGAGCAGUGUGCGUCCUUUUGUAACAUAUGUCACGAAGCACAAAACGUGUGACUGUCCCACUUCUGAAUUGCUAAGACAGUGGGCAGGGGAGGGAAAGCAGUCCCAUCCCACCAUGAUAAACGUCCCCAUUAACUGUUCAUGGUUUUGCACCACAAAUACAGGUAAGAAUUACAGAUGAUCAUUGCAUUGAUUUGUUAUUUCAUCAAGGGUUACAAAAUGGCAAUCUUCUAAUUCUGUCAUUUGUCUGAAAUUCUGUAAUACAAUGGCAGAAUUUCGAUUAUUUGUUUAUUCUAAAUUGAAGGUUGUACAGGAAAGGCAGGAUAAAUGCUUGAUUCUUUUUCUUUUCAGAAUGAUGAGUUGGACCCUUGAAACUUAUAAAGGUGACUCACACGCCUGCAUCUUUAUAUAUUUGGUGGGUCCAUUGUGGUCACUCUUCAUGGUGUUCGGAAGGUCCUGUCAUUGCUUAGUAGGAGCCCCUCAGACUGGCCCCUGGGCCCUCAUGACAUGACCCCGGUGUGUUCCGAAAGCUCUCACGCCUUCUGCCAGGGCAGGACGUGCCAGACCGGGAUCCAUCCACCUCUCCAGGGAGCUUUGGUUCCUUUUAGUGGGAAAUGGCAUUUUAAGACCAUACUCCAGGUGACUGGAGGACUCACUGUUCUUUUAUGAGGAGAGAAAUAAUUUGGAAGGAAAAAAAUUUCAUGAAUUCAUACUGAUGUUUCCAAUUCAAAUGUAAGAUUACGUGGGUUUCUUUUUUUUUUUUUCUUUCCUUUGCUUUAGACCUGUAUCUUCUUUUCUUGUGCUUUGGAAAAUCUUGUUUCUUAAUAAUUUUAACAUAAUUGCUAUUUGCUUUUUAUCCUAUAAUGUACCUAUAAUGAAUUUCAAAAUAACUAUGCCGGUACUACUGUUAUUAUCAACCUCCUAUUGACUGACGUUUGGGUUGUGUUACACCUUUUGCUAAUGCUGCGGUAAAUAACGUGUAUAUUUCAUAUUUUUGCCAGUUUCAUUUAGGGGUAGAUUUCCUCAAAAUGGGUUGGCUGGGUCAAAAAGUAAAUUUUUCUAGAUAGUGCCAAAUUUUCCUUCGUGUGGGAAAACCAUUUGUAUUCCACUAACAACGUAUGAGAGGGCCGCUUCCCCACAACCUCAUCAGUGGAUCGUGGCAUCAGACUUUUGGAUUUCUACCCCUCUGAUAGGAGUAUUUCAGAGUUUUGCAGCUAUGCUUAAGAGGCCUAACAUCUUAAGUUUAUGGAAAACUAAAUGCUUGACCAUGAAAGGAACGUCCUAUGAAUCCCUUUACAGCUGAGGGUAAACUUGACUGUGGCUAUGAUGGCUGUCCUCUUUGAAGCCUGACAAGAAAAGACUUGGAAAAUUUUUGAAUGUUGAAGUUGUAAUUUUCAGCAAGGAAAAAACAAUAUGUAUAUAUGUUGUGCCAGCUUCGUAAUCAUGAAUUUCCCUUUCAGACAGUUUUUGUCAUGGGCGAGGGCCCUCGACUGCAAAACUCAAGUCCGAUUUUGACCUGCCCUGGCCUGUCACCGCCUCUGUCUGGGUCUGGCUGCUGAGGGCGCACUGGUCCUCCUCGGGGGCUGGCCCCGAGGCUAAGAAUGGUCUCUUGGUGCCCAGAAAAGCUGCACACAAGCAAGGACUAUCUACCCGGAAGCUCUACUUGGAAGAUGUCAGGGCACAGAGAUUUGAGAACCACAGGGCGUAGCAGGACAGGUCUAUGUCACCAUGCACACCGAGGGGCCCUGUGCCUUUCAGGCGGGUGACGCCAUGGCGGAUUCACACUCACAUGAAAGAUGAUGGCGGGGGCUGGAGUCAGGCGCUUGACGCUAAUGUAAGAGAGCACUUUGAGCAUGUGGCCUUCCCGGCCUGCGACGUAAAUGAGUCUGAAAGACAAUGAUGGAGAAAGUUAACCAUACGCAGGUUGUUCCCUGCCCCUGAGAAGGUAUGUCCUGGGUUUCAAAACGAGCCACAGAGAAAGGAACUGAGUGGUGAUGGGUCGUCUGCCCUCUGGAGGGAGCGAGUUUGAGAGGAGCAGGCCAGGUGGCCAAAUGCGUCUGGCUACAGUGCAGCCACCACCGCAGGGCAGGGUGGGUGCUCUAGGGACACCUGCUCUGAGUCCCGAAAGUUAUGCAAGAAACAAAUGUAAAAACUAGGCCAGUGGGCCCCAGUUCCUGGGGUGCUGGACAGAAGCAAACACAGAGGUGCCUUGCCGUUUCAAGUCCAAAACCCAGUUAAAGAGUUUCCAUGUUUAAAAAAAUCAGGCAAAUUAAGGGCACAUCACCAGACACAAACAAAGGGCUUAGUCCCCACCCCAAGAACUCCUGAUAAUUCAGUAAUCUGAAAGACUGUUUAAAAGGUUAAAGAGAGAAGAAUUAGAAUAUUUUUUCUAUUUUCAUUUUUUUUAAGUUGAUACAAUAGUAUUAUUGGUGGAGGACACAGUGAUGUUGUGAUACAUACAUAUAUACACGUAGUGAUCAGAUCACAGUAAUGAGCAUGUCCAUCAUCUUGAGCAUUUGUCACUGUGUUGGGAACAUUCAGUGUCCUUGUCCCAGCGAUUUGAAAGUAUAUACUGUGGUUAACUGUGGCCACCCUGCACUGCCGUGGAAGAACACUGGGACGUGCUCCUCCUUGCUAGCCAUACUUUUGUAUCCUUUAACAAAUCUCCCCCUAUCCCCUACUCCCCCACCCUUCCCAUCCUCUAGUAUCCUCUGGCUAAGAAGAAUUUCUUUUCAAGAAAGGUCAAAGUUACCAUAAUUUAAAAUAAUUAUUUAAUAGAUACAAAUGAAAUGAAAAACUAAGUUGGAAGCUAGAUCCGAGCAUGAAGCAUAGCUAGAUGACAAAUUUAGAUGGGAAACUAAGAAGAACGGGAGAAGGUCACGUACACCAAGUGGAGUAUGGCAAAUUCAAAGAGCAGAGAACGUUCAUAAAAUUAAAAACACUGUGAGCCUUCAAAUUGAUCCCAGUUCUAUACAAGGCAUAAACAUACCCAUAUAUAAACAUUAUAGUAGAAGAAAAAAAAUCCUAAGGGCUACUGAAUUUAAAUUAUUACUAUAGAAUUAGGACAGUAAGAACAACAGCAGACAUACGAGGAAUAGCAUUUUCAAAAUGACGAGGGAAACUGAUUUUAGACUGGAAUUCUAUGUAGCUAAGCUAUCAUUCAAGACUACCAGCAAAAUAAAUUCCUUUUUAGAUAAACUAUGAGCCAUUAACUCUCCAGGCUUCACUGGAAGCUGUAUAGCUCAAAGGGAGCUGAUUACAAGAAGCAAUGAUAAGGAAAAGGCAGAAGAACAUGCUGGUGUGUAGCUAAGUAUUGGAUUUAUUUAUUUUGUAACAAACUUUUCUUAGAGGGGUGGGUUUAUAAACCAGGUUUUAACAAGAAAAGGGAGAGCCCUGCACAAGAGGAAAGAGAAUUGAACGACCGACACUCUGUUGGGUAUUCACACUAAAUUUUAAGGGCAAUCACGGACAGAAUAGAUACUCAACUUCCAUAUCAGCAGGAGACAGACGGGAAUAAAGAACCUUUGAUGGAUAUAACUCGGGAUUAUUUUGAAAGCCAAGAAAACAAAGUAAUGUGUUAGAAAUUCAGCUCUCAGGGACCACAGUAAAUGUAAACAUGUUAAACAGGAUUAACUGUAAUCAGGCAUGAAGGAACCUUCUGGGGCAACUGAAAUGUUGUACAGUUGGAUUGUGAUAUUUGCACAGCCUUGUAAAGUUACUAAAAUAAUUGGGUUGUACAGUUGCAAAGGGUGUCUGGUAUUUGUACCUUAACAGAGCUAUUAAAAUUGUGUUUUAUAUACAAGCAAUGAACUAUCAGAAACUGGAAUUUAAAAAAUAAUUUGAAGUGCCAUUUAAAAUAGCAUGAAAAGAUAUGAAAUACUUUGGAAUAAAUCUGCCAAAGAUGUGCAAGAACUGUAUACCAAAAACUACUCAAAAACAUUUGUGAAAAAAAUAUAAGAGCUAAAUAAACAGUCUACCCGUGGAUUGGAAGUCCCAAUACUUAGGAUGGCAGGCCUCCCCAGAUUCAACACAGUCCUAAUCAAAACCCUCAAAGCCUUUUUUGUAGAAAUUGACAAGCUAAUUCUAGCGUUCAUAUAGAAAUAGGAAAACUGGCCAUCCACGUGCAGAAGAGUGAAAUUGGGCUCUUAGCCUUUAUACAACUCAAAGUAGAUUAAAGACUUAAAUGUAA